CAUGCCACUAGAGGUGUUGCAGAUGUGGCUGCUGUGUCACAUGGGCAUCAGUAGGUGGCAGCGAGGAGUGAGGCAAUGUCUAUGCUCAGUGUCCUGACCUGUGAGCAACUGACUGGUAAGUAGCCUAACAUU